UAUUUAUUUUUGAGACAGAGAGAGACAGAGCGACCAGACCAACCAGAAGCGACCACCGGCAGGUGGACGAACGGAAUGGAAUCUGUCUGGGCGCUUCUGAGCUGGGACUGUGGACACAGAGAGAGAGACAAAGUGCAAGAGGGGAAGGCGCAAAGAGAGAGGGAGACACAGAACCGAAACAGGCUCCAGGCUCUGAGCUGUCAGCACGGAGACCCAAUGCGGAACUUGACCCGACGAACCUGGAGAUCAUGACCUGAACCGAGGUCGGACGCUUAACCGACUGAGCCACCCAGGCACCCCACCUAAUGCACAUUUUUAUUUAUUUAGGAUUUAGGCUUUCCCCCCUAAAAAGACUUCAAGCAUUAAAUGACGUGGGAGACUUCAGGAUUAAAAAUAGAACAGAG